rnacentral:rRNA from 1 species
GUUAUCGUUUAUUUGAUAGUACCUUACUACUUGGAUAACCGUGGUAAUUCUAGAGCUAAUACAUGCUGAAAACCCCAACUUCGGGAGGGGUGUAUUUAUUAGAUAAAAAACCAACGCCCUUCGGGGCUUCUUGGUGAUUCAUGAUAACUUCACGGAUCGCAUGGCCUUGCGCCGGCGACGGUUCAUUCAAAUUUCCGCCCUAUCAACUUUCGAUGGUAAGGUAUUGGCUUGCCAUGGUUUCAACGGGUAACGGGGAAUUAGGGUUCGAUUCCGGAGAGGGAGCCUGAGAAACGGCUACCACAUCCAAGGAAGGCAGCAGGCGCGCAAAUUACCCAAUCCCGACACGGGGAGGUAGUGACAAUAAAUACUGAUACAGGGCUCUUUUGGGUCUUGUAAUUGGAAUGAGUACAAUUUAAACCUCUUAACGAGGAACAAUUGGAGGGCAAGUCUGGUGCCAGCAGCCGCGGUAAUUCCAGCUCCAAUAGCGUAUAUUAAAGUUGUUGCAGUUAAAAAGCUCGUAGUUGAAACUUGG